UACGUAGGGUGCGAGCGUUAAUCGGAAUUACUGGGCGUAAAGCGCACGUAGGCGGACUCUUAAGUCGGGGGUGAAAGCCCAGGGCUCAACCCUGGAACUGCCUUCGAUACUGGGAGUCUUGAGUGUGGAAGAGGUUGGUGGAACUGCGAGUGUAGAGGUGAAAUUCGUAGAUAUUCGCAAGAACACCAGUGGCGAAGGCGGCUCACUGGCCCGAUACUGACGCUGAGGAGCGAAAGCCAGGGGAGCAAACGGG
rnacentral:rRNA from 1 species